AACGAACGCUGGCGGCAGGCUUAACACAUGCAAGUCGAACGCCCCGCAAGGGGAGUGGCAGACGGGUGAGUAACGCGUGGGAAUCUACCCAGAUCUUCGGAACAACUGAGGGAAACUGCAGCUAAUAACGGAUACGCCCCACGAGGGAAAGAUUUAUCGGUGCUGGAUGAGCCCGCGUUGGAUUAGCUAGUUGGUGGGGUAAUGGCCUACGAAGGCGACGAUCCAUAGCUGGUCUGAGCGGAUGAUCAGCCACACUGCGACUGAGACACGGCCCAGACUCCUACGGGAGGCAGCAGUGGGGAAUAUUGGACAAUGGGCGAAAGCCUGAUCCAGCCAUGCCGCGUGAGUGACGAAGGCCUUAGGUUUGUAAAGCUCUUUCAGUAGGGAAGAUAAUGACGGUACCUACAGAAGAAGCCCCGGCUAACUUCGUGCCAGCCGCCGCGGUAA
rnacentral:rRNA from 1 species